rnacentral:rRNA from 1 species
UUUUGUUUGGAGAGUUUGAUCCUGGCUCAGGACGAACGCUGGCGGCGUGCUUAACACAUGCAAGUCGAACGGAAAGGCCUCUUCGGAGGUACUCGAGUGGCGAACGGGUGAGUAACACGUGGGCAAUCUGCCCUGCACUUCGGGAUAAGCCUGGGAAACUGGGUCUAAUACCGGAUAGGACCUUUAGACGCAUGUCUUUUGGUGGAAAGCUUUUGCGGUGUGGGAUGGGCCCGCGGCCUAUCAGCUUGUUGGUGGGGUGAUGGCCUACCAAGGCGACGACGGGUAGCCGGCCUGAGAGGGUGUCCGGCCACACUGGGACUGAGAUACGGCCCAGACUCCUACGGGAGGCAGCAGUGGGGAAUAUUGCACAAUGGGCGCAAGCCUGAUGCAGCGACGCCGCGUGGGGGAUGACGGCCUUCGGGUUGUAAACCUCUUUCACCAUCGACGAAGGUCCGGGUUUUCUCGGAUUGACGGUAGGUGGAGAAGAAGCACCGGCCAACUACGUGCCAGCAGCCGCGGUAAUACGUAGGGUGCGAGCGUUGUCCGGAAUUACUGGGCGUAAAGAGCUCGUAGGUGGUUUGUCGCGUUGUUCGUGAAAUCUCACGGCUUAACUGUGAGCGUGCGGGCGAUACGGGCAGACUAGAGUACUGCAGGGGAGACUGGAAUUCCUGGUGUAGCGGUGGAAUGCGCAGAUAUCAGGAGGAACACCGGUGGCGAAGGCGGGUCUCUGGGCAGUAACUGACGCUGAGGAGCGAAAGCGUGGGGAGCGAACAGGAUUAGAUACCCUGGUAGUCCACGCCGUAAACGGUGGGUACUAGGUGUGGGUUUCCUUCCUUGGGAUCCGUGCCGUAGCUAACGCAUUAAGUACCCCGCCUGGGGAGUACGGCCGCAAGGCUAAAACUCAAAGGAAUUGACGGGGGCCCGCACAAGCGGCGGAGCAUGUGGAUUAAUUCGAUGCAACGCGAAGAACCUUACCUGGGUUUGACAUGCACAGGACGCGUCUAGAGAUAGGCGUUCCCUUGUGGCCUGUGUGC